UGGAAGAAACAAUGCCCAAUAGUUGGUGGCGUUUGUUUCAACUGAGCCUGUUUUUUUCUCUGUAUAUAUUACAACAUCUCAUCUCAUCGCAUCAAGCAUUUGCAGUUUUCACAGUUUUUUUUUUUUUCUCCUUUCUGUUGCGAAAACAACAAUAAAAUUCACAUGAUUGUGAUGCCUCUGAUGCUGUGUCCAUGGUGGUCAUUGGUGAAGCUGGGAACAGCACUGGUGUGUGAACCUUCGUCAACUUUGACAACGAUUUUGUAUCACGCCGAGUUGCUUCCCCGCAACCUUAACUUGGAUCGAUUAGUGCGACGUGAGUUUCUUCACCGAGAAAACCAUUUCUUCCAUUUUCUCACCACUGUGUUGAGGUGUGUCUGGUAGAUACCAUACCAACAAUGAAUGUGUCGGGUUCAGUAUUAAUGGAAGUGUUUGUAAGAGAAACUAAAAAAACAAAAAUUAGUAAAUUGUCUGGAUGUAACGUAGAAAUAUUAAA